rnacentral:rRNA from 1 species
GUACGGGAGGCAGCAGUGGGGAAUUUUGCGCAAUGGGCGAAAGCCUGACGCAGCAACGCCGCGUGAGUGAUGAAGGCUUUCGGGUCGUAAAGCUCUGUCAAUGGGAAAGAAGUGUAUUAUGGUUAAUACCCAUGAUACUUGACGGUACCCAUAAAGGAAGCACCGGCUAACUCCGUGCCAGCAGCCGCGGUAAUACGGAGGGUGCGAGCGUUGUUCGGAAUUAUUGGGCGUAAAGCGCGUGUAGGCGGUUUAUUAAGUCUGAUGUGAAAGCCCCGGGCUCAACCUGGGAAGUGCAUUGGAAACUGGUAGACUUGAAUACGGGAGAGGGUAGUGGAAUUCCUGGUGUAGGAGUGAAAUCCGUAGAUAUCAGGAGGAACACCGGUGGCGAAGGCGGCUGCCUGGACCGAUAUUGACGCUGAGACGCGAAAGCGUGGGUAGCAAACAGGAUUAGAUACCCCGGUAGA